GGAUCGCAAGACCUUGCGCUCAUUGAGCGGCCGAUGCCUGAUUAGCUAGUUGGUGAGGUAAAGGCUUACCAAGGCGACGAUCAGUAGCUGGUCUGAGAGGACGACCAGCCACACUGGGACUGAGACACGGCCCAGACUCCUACGGGAGGCAGCAGUGGGGAAUUUUGGACAAUGGGGGAAACCCUGAUCCAGCCAUGCCGCGUGAGUGAAGAAGGCCUUCGGGUUGUAAAGCUCUUUCAGCCGGAACGAAACGGUCACGGCUAAUACCUGUGACCACUGACGGUACCGGAAGAAGAAGCACCGGCUAACUACGUGCCAGCAGCCGCGGUAAUACGUAGGGUGCAAGCGUUAAUCGGAAUUACUGGGCGUAAAGCGUGCGCAGGCGGUUUUGUAAGUCAGAUGUGAAAUCCCCGGGCUUAGCCUGGGAACUGCGUUUGAA
rnacentral:rRNA from 1 species